UUAGUAAUUCACUGCGUGAUUAAUUGUGCUAGAUAAAAGCCACCGCCUACCUACCAAAUUUAUUCAGAUUUCCAGCCUUGCCUGCCCAUUCAAAUUUAUUCAAAGCCACCGCGUCGCACCCAUCUAUACCCACGAGGCCGGCCAGGACCCCAAAUCUCCAAUUCCAUUCGACGCGAUCCCUUCCGUCCCGCUAGAAUUCCAUCUAGGCACGGCCUCCCUCCCGCUGGAUCCCGAGUUGGCGUUGGCGAGCGCCUGGUGGCUGGGCUACACGCUUGGAACCCGGCGCCCGGCGCCGCGGCGGAGCAUGGUGGCCGCCUGGCCGGGAGGCAUCACAGGGUCGCCGGGUGCUUCUCCUCGGCCGCCGCCGCCGCCGUCAACACCUCCUCGUCCAGCCUUCUUCCUCAUAGAUCUAGGGUAGACGGGGAGCAGAGGAGCAGCCAGCAGAUCAGGAGGAGCAGCAGAUCCGGGUUCAGCGGUGGCUGCAGCCAUGGGACGCUAGGAUGAUCCAGGGGGGCCUUGAUGCAAGCGGAUGCCGAAUCUCUCUGGUGCGGCGCGGUGGCCGUACGUCAGGGAGAGGCACCGGGCCGACGCCGCAGCAGCCCAUACGUUACCUUGCUCGUCCAGCCGUCUUCCUCCGAGAUCUGAUAGGUUGGACGCAGGGUAGAGGAGGAGCACGAGGAGGAGCAGAUCCAUGUUCUGCGAUGCUGGCCGCAGCCAUGCAUGGGACGCUAGGUCGAUCCAGGGGAGGCGACUGAUGCCAGCGGAUGCCAUUCUUUUCAGGAGCCACAUGAGGUUUGUCUUAAACUACUGUAUGAUUCUAGUCAUCAGUAUUCGCUACUGUUUGCUUCAGUUACCACAUGAGGUUUGCCUUAAACUUUGAUUCUAGUGCGCAUUCUAUGAUCAGAGCUGCUGGUUUUUAGCGUGUGGGAACUGAAACUUGUAACCAAGUUUCCAUGUCGCACGAAAACUUGCACCGCGGAGAACAUUUCUCUUUGCUAUCACGAUAGGCGGAAUGCUCAGUCUUACUUUGAUGCUCGGUCACACAAGCUAUCGUGGACUGAAUAUUGAAAUAGUACCGUAUUGUAUUAUACUAGUAAACUGGAAAGAUUCUGCAAUGACCACACAUAUCUUUGCCGUCUUGACUAGAGUAUAGGUUACCGAUAAUAUCGUUGCUUAAGAGUAUCUCUAAAGCGGACCUUCAAAGUCCACGUAUAUAUCCGGACCACAAUGUUUGGAUCAGCUUUUGUCAUUCAAUACGAACUCAUAUGUCCAUGGACCAGUCCGCAUGUUCGAAAUCCCGAUAUCCUGGGAACAACCGUGAGGGGGAUAUGCGGGAGUUCGAACAUCCUCUUGACCAACAAAAAGCUACCACGUGCCUACGCUACCACACAUUCUGUUCUUCCCUCUCUCUCCUCCAAAAGGAAGAGGAGCAGCGAUGCAUACAGGGACCACGCACCCACUUGCCCUCUCCUUCUUUCUCCCACUGCAAUUUCUCUCACGAAAUUUGCAAAUAGCUUUGGAUGGUUUCCUUCCGCAUCUCGUCCGGGUACCACGUCCGGACACGUUUGAGGAAAUUUGUAGUGUCUGUUUUAGGGAUUUGCACUAGAGGCGCCCUCAGGCUGCUUAUUACCAAGUGGGAAUUUGCGGGUUCGAUUUUAAUUACAGGGCAUUUAAGUUUGAUUGUUUUUCUCCAUAGUUUUUUUUAAGAAACCAGGAGUUAUUUUCUUCAUUUCAGUUAAAAAUUCGAAGUAAUCAUACUUGAAAUAGUAAACACUACUUGUCUUCUUUCCUUAUGUAGCUUGUUUACAAUUUUUAGUCUAAUACUUCAUGAGGAAAUUUGUGGCAUUAGAUCAACUCUAGCAGAGUUGUCAUAUCAAGCCAAACACAUAAUAACAUGUAUGGUAACUUUGACCCCAAAAAAGUCGUUCUAGCAGAGUCGCCAUCCACCACUCCAAUUGCCAUAUGUUUGGAGGGAACUCCGAAUCAAGACCUGCCUCAAUAUUUGGAGGAUGGGGAGAGGGACAUUUAGAGCGCACUCCAUCCCGAAAACUGCUACUUGGCAUGAGCGACAUUUCCCCUCUCUCCCCUCUUCCCGCCCGCGACGCCACCUGACAUACCUCAUCGUAGCACAACCUCCUUUUGACCACAUGACAUGUCGAUGACACCAUGAACUCCGACACGACCCCUACAUCCCAUUCCUCCGGUGUCCCACGAGAUCAUGCGCUUCCCGCUCAUCCUACUCCUCCAUACUAUUUCGCGCAACCCCCCCCCCCUCAACAUCAUGUUGCCGAGGACACCACCUCGUUGGAUCUUCCAUCGACGAUGCAACCGCACAGGCUAUAGACCCUCUGCUGUCAGGCAUCACCUCCAUCCUCCGACCUCCCCCGCAGCCACCACACUGUGUUGGUCGCCCAACCGUAGCGAAGAACAAUACAAAAUGGAGGAAGAAACCGAAUUUCAACUCCCCACUUUGUUCAAGCAGAUGUCGACGCAUUGGCGCCUUCGAACUUUGAAGCAUUUGGUGACAUGCAAAGUUGGUAAAUAAACCUCCUUCCUUUGUCCUUUGAUUUGUUUGCUUCAAUGCAAGGUGUUAGUAGAACAAUGGUGGCAAUUGUGUAAUAUUUGUGUGUAGUGAUGCUUUUACGUAUUUCAGAGGAUUGCUUGUUAAUAAUGAAUCCUCCUUGAGGGGUAUGAUGCAAGAUUCAGUUGAGACCAAUGAUUUAAAUAGUAGAGACUUCUCUCUUCAUUAAAUGUUGUUGAGCACACUGAGUGGUCGGAUGCUGUGAGCAAAGAUGCGAAAUUGGAUCAAUUCCAUGCCUCCCAAUCUUCUACGAAGAAAGCAUCUCCGGUUUCAAACUAUAUCAAUGAAGAAGCCUUCUGUGUUGCUGGCAUGGCAUUAUACUACUCUGGAUGCGGUCGCCAAGAAUGGUCAAACUAGUGUAAAGUAUUGGAAGCGACCAAAAGAGAGUUCCAACCGUCGAGGAAGGUUUUUGGAGCAAGUAAGGAACUCAUCUCCUAGCAGUGUUACCAUUAACAAUAUGGGAUAGCCCAGGAAAGGUACAAACAAAUGUCGAGGGUGAAGGGGAAAGCAUUUGGCCUCUGCCCUCGUUGAAAAGAAUUAGAGGGCAAUGUGAAGAGGAAAUAGAGGAAUGAGGAGGCUCCAACGUUGAAACAAAUGAGUCAAUCCAUUGACGCCAUUUUGUUGGAAAGCCUUUCAUUUGCGUAUAUUGUUGCAAGAAUGGCCAUUUAAAUUUGUUGUAGGCCUUUCCAAAAUCUACUUUGAAGAUAGCUAUGUCAAGUUUUGUCGACCGCAACGUAUGGAUCCUUUCAUGUAAUACAACAAUCCCCUCCAGGAUGUGUCACCCUGGCAUG